AAUUUUGACGCCAAUGGUGCGGCGGGAGCGAGGGACAUUGUACAGCGGCUGAACCUUUUACGACCGCCUGUGGCCGCGUGACGACUGACGAGGGACUGACAUCCGCAAAGGGGUUUAACAAAUUCCAAACUCCCAACCCCAUUGUUCCAGUUCCCAGUUCUUCGUUGUUCGCCGCCAUUGUUUCUCUCACUGGUGCUUAAUGGAGGUUGUGAGACUGCGAAUUUUGUUCAAACACAAGGACCUAUUGACAGCGUCGCUCUCGGGAUUGAGCCGGAGCUGGAUUGUCCUUAAAUCUCAUUUCCGAACUAUUUCCGACCUCUCCUCCUACAUCCUUUCCGUUUUUCGUCUUCACGAUGCUUGCCCCAACGGUCUCAUUCUUUCUAUGGAUGGCUUUGUGUUACCUCCGUUUGAGUCGGUUGGUAUCUUAAAGGAUAAGGACAUUGUCAGAGUGAAGAAGAAAAAAAGUACGGCAAUCUGUCUCAGUGUUGGUAACAAAUUGAUCAAAACUGAGGAAUUCAGGGAGAGUGGAUCAGAGGAAGAUGAACUUAAGGCUCCUUUGCCAGUGAAAGCUGCCCCAGUUGAAAAAAAAGUGUCUAAGAAAAGAAAAGCUUCGAAGAUAAUUCGCAACACAAAGAGGAAGAAAAAUAAUUCUUUCCCUAGUGAAGAAUUUCCAACUAUCGUAGCAGAUGUUCAUUACUCUAAUGAAAUGCAUGAAGAAAGAAAUCAUGUGAAGUCUGACCUCCCACAAAAAGUCAUAGGCGGUGAAAAUGAUUCAUCCAGCAGUUCUAGUGCAUCUGAAUCGGAUACAUCCAGCAACAUUGAUAUUGAUGGAAGAAACAACAAUAUUAUUAAGUCAACUGGGAAUGCAAAGAGGAUUGAUCAGAUUGGAGUUGGCGGGAAACAUAUUGAGUUGUCCGACAAAGCUGGUGAAACUCAAAAGGGUCCUAGUAGAAGUUCUCGUUGUAAAAAGGCAAAAAGGCAUUGGUUGAGGGAAAGAGCUCAAAAUGAGGAGCAACAGCAGCUGUUAUUGGAAACAAGUAUUGAUCAAGGACCUAGUCAGAAUGAUGAUGCUGAUAUGGAUGAUGACACUGUUCCUGUGGUAGUUAAGCCGGGACAUAUUCGCUUUGAGCCAUUUGGAAAAGUGGCUGCGGAUCAGACUGAAAAACAACCAAAACACUUCCCUAUGGAGACAUUACACUGGAAUGGCAUAACCAACAAGAAGGGUCAGAAAUGGGGCAAAGAGAAAACUUCAUCUUGGAAUAGGAACAAUUCUAACAAUCGUACAGGCGAACCUCUUCAGUUGCCUACUACUGAAGCUGAGCCACAUACAAUUUCAGCACCUGUAGUUGGUCCCAUAAAUUUUGAUGAACUUGGACCGUGCAGUGGCUUGCCUCAGAAAGGUGAUGUAGUUGCAUAUCGUUUGAUUGAGUUAUCAUCAACCUGGACACCUGAGAUUUCCUCCUUCCGAGCUGGUAAAGUAUCAUGGUACGACAUUGAAUCCAAUCGAAUUAUGCUAAAUCCAGUUCCAGAAUACCCAUUACCUGUUAAAAAGGAGAUGGACGAGGAUUCUGCAUUACACUUAGAUUCAACCCCAUAUGGUGAAAAUGGCUCUUUAAAGAUAGAUUUUGCCUCUCUUGUUGAUCUUCGGCUUAUCAGGCAAGGAAGCUUGGAUUCUUCAAAAACUAUGGUUAACCAGGAAAACACUUCUGCUAAACAAAGUGCAGAAAGUUCCAAAUUCGCCCAUGGCAUUGGAAAUGCCAACGACACUAAACAAGGUAAUGGAAAAGUAAGUGCGUGGGAUGAAAUCAGCGAGGCUCUGAGUGCAAAGAAAGCGGAACUUUCUAAGAAUGAUGGUUGGAAUCGAGAAGAAAGUUCAGGAAGGAGGCCAGAUGGUAGGAAUCAAGAAGAAAGUUCAGGAAAGAGAUCAAGGUCCUGUAGGGCACUCAGAGGCAGCGCCCUUGGUCCAACAGUGGGUCUAUUAAGAGCUCGUAACGAAAUCUAAGAAAAAUCUCCUGGGUCCAAACAUUUUCCCUGUAUUUUUGAUGCUCAGAAGUCAGAAGACACGCUCUUGUAUAGUUUGGAAUCUGCAGGUGUUAAUUUACUGUGAUGGUGCUGCCUUCUACCGUCAAGCUCAGACUCGUUAGUGAACUUCGGUUAUGGCAUUUUUUGGUUGGAAUUAGGUGACAAUAGGAUUGCAUGCCAGACCAACUAGACGUCCUGCACUGCCAAAUCUAUGUAAGCUGUUGAUGAUGGAGCUUCCAAGGAUGUUAUCUGUAGUUUUGUCACAAUGGAAAGCAUCUCUCUCAAAUUAUAAAUGCAUGGGAAUUUCGGUGAAAUCACUGAUUACUCUGUAAAACUCAGACUAUUGAUGGCGUUUUUUUCUAUACAUGAUCUCUGGAGGAUUGGAUUCUCUACGUAUAUAU